rnacentral:rRNA from 1 species
AUUGAACGCUGGCGGCAUGCCUUACACAUGCAAGUCGAACGGUAACAGGUCUUCGGAUGCUGACGAGUGGCGAACGGGUGAGUAAUACAUCGGAACGUGCCCGAGAGUGGGGGAUAACGAGGCGAAAGCUUUGCUAAUACCGCAUACGAUCUCAGGAUGAAAGCAGGGGACCGCAAGGCCUUGCGCUCACGGAGCGGCCGAUGGCAGAUUAGGUAGUUGGUGGGAUAAAAGCUUACCAAGCCGACGGUCUGUAGCUGGUCUGAGAGGACGACCAGCCACACUGGGACUGAGACACGGCCCAGACUCCUACGGGAGGCAGCAGUGGGGAAUUUUGGACAAUGGGCGCAAGCCUGAUCCAGCCAUGCCGCGUGCAGGAUGAAGGCCUUCGGGUUGUAAACUGCUUUUGUACGGAACGAAAAGACUCUGGUUAAUACCUGGGGUCCAUGACGGUACCGUAAGAAUAAGCACCAGCUAACUACAUGCCAGCAGCCGCAGUAACAC